UACAGAGGUCUCAAGCGUUGUUCGGAUUCAUUGGGCGUAAAGGGUGCGUAGGCGGCACGGUAAGUCGGGUGUGAAAUCUCGGGGCUUAACUCCGAAACUGCAUUCGAUACUGCCGUGCUUGAGGACUGGAGAGGAGACUGGAAUUUACGGUGUAGCGGUGAAAUGCGUAGAUAUCGUAAGGAAGACCAGUGGCGAAGGCGGGUCUCUGGACAGUUCCUGACGCUGAGGCACGAAGGCCAGGGGAGCAAACGGG
rnacentral:rRNA from 1 species